GCCCCUCUAGCUCAAUGGUAGAGCACCUGACUCUUAAUCAGUAGGUUGCCGGUUCGAGUCCGGCGGGGGGCA
rnacentral:tRNA from 1 species